rnacentral:rRNA from 1 species
AGAGUUUGAUCAUGGCUCAGAACGUACGCUGGCGGCACGCCUAACACAUGCAAGUCGAACGAAGUAGCAAUACUUAGUGGCAGACGGGUGAGUAACAUGUGGGUAUCUGCCCUUUGGCCUGGAAUAACACGAGGAAACUUGUGCUAAUACCGGAUAAGUCUUUACGGAGAAAGCUUUAUGCACCAUUGGAUGAGCCCGCACUUGAUUAGUUUGUUGGUGGGGUAAUGGCCUACCAAGACUGUGAUCAAUAGCUGAUUUGAGAGGAUGAUCAGCCACAUUGGGACUGAGACACGGCCCAAACUCCUACGGGAGGCAGCAGUGGGGAAUCUUGCACAAUGGAGGAAACUCUGAUGCAGCGAUGCCGCGUGAGUGAAGAAGGCCCUUGGGUUGUAAAGCUCUUUCGUCGGGGAAGAAAAUGACUGUACCCGAAUAAGAAGGUCCGGCUAACUUCGUGCCAGCAGCCGCGGUAAUACGAAGGGACCUAGCGUAGUUCGGAAUUACUGGGCUUAAAGAGUUCGUAGGUGGUUGAAAAAGUUGGUGGUGAAAUCCCAGAGCUUAACUCUGGAACUGCCAUCAAAACUUUUCAGCUAGAGUUUGAUAGAGGAAAGCAGAAUUUCUAGUGUAGAGGUGAAAUUCGUAGAUAUUAGAAAGAAUACCAAUUGCGAAGGCAGCUUUCUGGAUCAUUACUGACACUGAGGAACGAAAGCAUGGGUAGCGAAGAGGAUUAGAUACCCUCGUAGUCCAUGCCGUAAACGAUGUGUGUUAGACGUUGGAAAUUUAUUUUCAGUGUCGCAGCGAAAGCGAUAAACACACCGCCUGGGGAGUACGACCGCAAGGUUAAAACUCAAAUGAAUUGACGGGGACCCGCACAAGUAGUGGAGCAUGUGGUUUAAUUCGAAGAUACGCGCAGAACCUUACCAACACUUGACAUGUUCGUCGCGACUUUAAGAGAUUAAAGUUUUCGGUUCGGCCGGACGAAACACAGGUGCUGCAUGGCUGUCGUCAGCUCGUGUCGUGAGAUGUUGGGUUAAGUCCCGCAACGAGCGCAACCCUCACUUUUAGUUGCCAUCAUUUAGUUGGGCACUCUGAAAGAACUGCCAGUGAUAAGCUGGAGGAAGGUGGGGAUGACGUCAAGUCCUCAUGGCCCUUACGUGUUGGGCUACACACGUGCUACAAUGGUAUCUACAACAGGAAGCAAAACAGCGAUGUUAAGCAAAUCCUUAAAAGAUACCUCAGUUCGGAUUGCACUCUGCAACUCGAGUGCAUGAAGCUGGAAUUACUAGUAAUCGUGGAUCAGCGUGCCACGGUGAAUGCGUUCCCGGGUCUUGUACACACCGCCCGUCACACCAUGGGAGUUGGUUCUACCUUAAGGCAAGGUUUAAUACCCUUGACCACGGUAUAGUCAGCGACUGGGGUGAAGUCAUAACAAGGUAGC